GGAAUAUUGCACAAUGGGCGCAAGCCUGAUGCAGCCAUGCCGCGUGUGUGAAGAAGGCCUUCGGGUUGUAAAGCACUUUCAGCGAGGAGGAAGGGUAGUGUGUUAAUAGCACAUUGCAUUGACGUUACUCGCAGAAGAAGCACCGGCUAACUCCGUGCCAGCAGCCGCGGUAAUACGGAGGGUGCAAGCGUUAAUCGGAAUUACUGGGCGUAAAGCGCACGCAGGCGGUUUGUUAAGUCAGAUGUGAAAUCCCCGCGCUUAACGUGGGAACUGCAUUUGAAACUGGCAAGCUAGAGUCUUGUAGAGGGGGGUAGAAUUCCAGGUGUAGCGGUGAAAUGCGUAGAGAUCUGGAGGAAUACCGGUGGCGAAGGCGGCCCCCUGGACAAAGACUGACGCUCAGGUGCGAAAGCGUGGGGAGCAAAACAGGAUUAGAUACCCUGGUA
rnacentral:rRNA from 1 species